CUUGAAUUCUGUAGAAGGUAUGAGAAAUGCAAUAAUGGCGACACUUGAUCAUUAUUGCUCUACAGAUGAAUUACCUCGCCACGACAAUUGCCCGGAAGGCGCUGAAAGCUGGUGUGAGUGGCGCAAAGCUGUAGCGACAAACACCCUGGUUGCUUUUAAACAUCCACCGCGUCUAAUUGACGAACAUGUCGAGAAGUACAUUCGUCCUGUGUACGAGGAAUUAUCUAAGGACGAGCUGCUAACGAGGUGUUUGGGUGGACACACACAAAAUGCGAACGAGACGUUCAAUUCCACUGUGUGGCGCAUCACACCUAACCUAAACACCUUCACUCAGGCAUUAAAAUCUUCGAGAUUGCUGCUUACAUCGCUGGAGGAAUGUUCAAUGAAGGUUACAGUGCAGCAUUGAAAACCAUGCAGUUACUGGAUUUGAAAAUUGGACAGCAAUGCAACAAUUUCGCCAAGGGAGCCGACGAGGAGCGCGUCACCCGAAAAAACAGGCGCGAUUCAUAUUCAAGUAAAGAGGCCAGAACAGCCCGCAGACUCGAACAACAGAGCGAAAAUUAGUUUUUUGAAGAGUCUGAAGGGCAACUCUAUGGACCAGGAAUCGCUGAUUAGCAUAUUAAUGCGAUGGAAAUUGCGACCUGCACCUUUCCCGUCGCACGAUAAAUGCACACUCGAGACGCCUCGGUGAAAUGCUUGUACCAGGCAUAAUAUGACAUAUAUCUUAAUGAAAAAAUUUAAGAAGACUGCUGAAAUAUAUAACAAUAAAACCUGAAAGUUUCGUUUCAA